rnacentral:rRNA from 1 species
GUUAGGAAUAUUGGACAAUGGGCGCAAGCCUGAUCCAGCCAUGCCGCGUGAACGAUGAAGGCCUUCGGGUUGUAAAGUUCUUUAGCCGAUGAUUAUAAUGACUGUAGUCGGAAAAUAAGCCCCGGCUAACUUCGUGCCAGCAGCCGCGGUAAUACGAAGGGGGCGAGCGUUAUUCGGAAUCACUGGGCGUAAAGCGUGCGUAGGCGGUCUCGUAAGUUAGGAGUGAAAGCCCAGGGCUGAACCUUGGAAUUGCUCUUAAUACUGCAAGGCUAGAAUCUCGGAGAGGAUAGCGGAAUUUCCAGUGUAGCAGUGAAAUGCGUAGAUAUUGGAAGGAACACCAGUGGCGUAAGCGGCUAUCUGGACGAGUAUUGACGCUGAGGCACGAAAGCGUGGGGAUCAAACAGGAUUAGAAACCCCGGUAGUCC